rnacentral:rRNA from 1 species
UACGGAGGGUGCGAGCGUUAAUCGGAAUUACUGGGCGUAAAGCGCAUGCAGGCGGUUUGUUAAGCAAGAUGUGAAAGCCCUGGGCUUAACCUAGGAGUUGCAUUUUGAACUGGCAGGCUAGAGUCUUGUAGAGGGGGGUAGAAUUUCAGGUGUAGCGGUGAAAUGCGUAGAGAUCUGAAGGAAUACCGGUGGCGAAGGCGGCCCCCUGGACAAAGACUGACGCUCAGAUGCGAAAGCGUGGGUAGCAAACAGG